rnacentral:lncRNA from 1 species
GUUUGUUAUCUUUGUAACUCCUUCAAGUUUCAGGAAUGUCUAUCUCGUUUUGCUCUAUGGAUUAUCAGCAUGUUUUUUCUUUUUUUCUGAUGAAGUAACGUUUGUUCUUAUCUUAUCUUGACACCCCAUGAGUGAAGGAUAAUUAUAGCCAUGUCGUUGUCUGGUUGUUUUUUUUAUGGUCCCCAUUGAUGUUUUCUCUCUGUUUAUGUAUACUUUCUAACACAAACUGUUGAUAAAAAUAAAUGAUACGUGUAGCAGAGGCUAAAUAAUUUAAAUCCAUUAUAAUUUAUAUAAUUCCUGGUAUAUGUAUGGUUUUUAGAACAAUUAGUGUGUCUGUAAAUCGUUCUUACAAAAAUAGAAUAAAG